rnacentral:rRNA from 1 species
GCCCGCUCAGAAACUACAAGGAAGUUGACGGGGCCCGCACAAGCGGUGGAGUAUGUGGUUCAAUUCGAUGCAACGCGAAGAACCUUACCUGGUCUUGACAUCCCGGAGACCCUUAGGAAACUAGGGGUGCUUCCAUCUGGAAGAAUCUGGAGACAGGUGCUGCAUGGCUGUCGUCAGCUCGUGUCGUGAGAUGUUGGGUUAAGUCCCGCAACGAGCGCAACCCUUGCCUUUAGUUGCCAGCAGUUCGGCUGGGCACUCUAAAGGGACUGCCGGUGUUAAACCGGAGGAAGGUGGGGAUGACGUCAAGUCCUCAUGGCCUUUAUGACCAGGGCUACACACGUACUACAAUGGCCGAUACAAAGGGCAGCGACACUGCGAGGUGAAGCCAAUCCCGUAAAAUCGGUCUCAGUCCGGAUUGGAGUCUGCAACUCGACUCCAUGAAGUUGGAAUCGCUAGUAAUCGUGGAUCAGCAUGCCACGGUGAAUACGUUCCCGGGCCUU